CCUUCUUCUCCCUCUGCUGGAAUAAUGACUUUGAAGACACUAAAGUAAAAGAACCAUCAACACAAGUGACAUGUCAUAGCAGGAGCUGACACAGCCUCACCAGCCCAUGCUCGGCCAGACUAGAAUGUGGCAGAAUUGGCCGGAAGCAGAAUUGCCUGUUUCCAGUGAGGCCCCCUUGCCCUCUUGGAAGCAAUUGCUGUGUAGGAAGUCUGAACACCUCACAGGAGAUGGAGGCCAGUUCCUGCCUGCUGUAGCCACCCAGCUGAAGGGGGUCCAGACACGAGUGGAGGCAUUGUGACCUCCAGCCUCAGCAGACACCUCCACACUGCGCAGGGCAGAGCAACCACGCCACCGAGUGAGCCCCAUUUGCAGACUUUGAGCAAAUAAUGAUUGUGCACGUUGGAUCAUUUAUUGAGUUUCUCUCGUACACCAAGCACUGGUUGGAUCCCAUGCUUGUUGGUGACAGAACUGCUGUGAUGCCAGUCCUGCGUCCCCUUCAGCCUGUGAAGGAGGAGCACCAUGAACCAGCCAACUAACACGUGUCUAAUCACAUAAAGGGAACUGAACACCAGAGAGCCACAGUCACUUUCCGAAGGUCACACAGCAAGUGCAAAUGAGGCCUCAUCCUCAGGGCUGGGUUCCAGGCCUGCUGGGCAGGUCGGUUACUGCUGCACAAAAUUUCUGUUAUCCUAAAAUUGUUUCAGACAAGCACCAAAGGACGUCCCAUAGUUCUGCUUGACUAAGGUUUAAUGAAGUUAAUGUUCAUACUUUCCACUCUAUUUUUCCACUCUUUAAGGAUCCAAAUUUUCUUGGUGUAGCUGCGUAUAAAAGUUUAACUAUUACAGAGAUAACCACAAAAUUUGAUGAGGCUUCAUUGAGUGGAAAACACUGUAGUCCAAAUAAAUGCAGAAAUCAUUGGUUUGGGAACCAAGGGAUAAAAUGCUCCCAGCUGUGGCAGUUCCUCUUCUACCUUCUUUGAGUGAAUUUGCAACACAGAAAAAGGCUGAUGAAGCUGAGACAUUGAUUAUCAAAGUGCCUUCACUUCCCAGAACCAUCUGACGCAAGAUAGAAUCCAGCUAUGCUUAAUCACCACUUACACAGCACUUUCUGAAAUGCUUUCUACAUCUUAGGGUAGGUUUUAUUUUCUCUUAAUGGAGGGGUUUUCCCAGGCUUGUAGGGGACAUAGUCUUCUCUGUCCCUUCCUUAUCUUGGCUUCUUCUUUGUUUUUAUUGUGGUAAAAUACACAAAGCAUGAUGUUGACUGGGUUAACCAUUUUUAAGCAUACAAUUCAGUGGUAUUAAAUUUACUCAUAAUAUUGUGCCCCCAUCACCACCAUCUAUCUCCACAACUCUUUUUAUCUUAUAAAAUGGAAACUCUGUACUCAUUAAACAACAAGUCUCCAUUCUCUUCUCCACUCACCUCUGGCAACCACUGUUCUUUCUGUCUCUAUGAUUUUAUGAAGUACUCUGUGUACCUCAUGUCAGUGGAAUCAUACAGUAUUUGUCCUUCUGUAACUGGCUUAUUUCACUUGAGCACAGUGUUCUCAGAGUUCAUCCUUCGUAUACCACGUGUCAGCAUUUUCUUCCUUUUUAAAGCUGAAUAAUAUUCCAUUGCAUGUAUAGACCACAUUUUGCUUAUCCAUUUAUGUAUUGAUGGACACUUGAGUUGCUUCCACUUCUUGGCUGUUGUGAAUAAUGAUAUUAUAAACAGGGAUAUGCAAAAGCCUCUUCAAGUCCUUGCUUUUAAUUCUUUUGGGUAUGUACACAGUAGUGGAGUUCAGGAUCAUAUGGUAAUUCUGUGUUUAAUUUUUUGAGGGUCUGCCAUACUGUUUUCCAGUGGCUGCACCAUUUUACAUUCCUUGUGCAAACAAUGCACAAGGGUUCCAAUUUCUCUAUAUUCUUGCCAACAUCUGUUAGUUUCUGUUUUCUUCCUGGUAGCCAUCAUUAUGGGUGUGGAGUGGUCUCUUGGCUCCUUCUUGACAGGGGUUCUCUUUGGAAUCCGUACCUGCCAGCCAGGAUCCCUGUCUACUGGCUGCUCCUUGGUCCUGUGGAGCUUUGCUCCUGCACUCUGCCAAGCUCUGAGGCUGGCCUCUGUUUAGGCUGCUGAUAGACACCUGUCUUCAUGCUAAGGCCUAGCUGACUGGCUGAGCCAACCUACUCCUCCAGGGCCUGCCCAACCCUGAUGGGUGCCUGACGCAGGCCUGGAACAUCUUGCUGCCUUCUCGUACUCACAGCUUAGGAAGCAAAAAGCAAGCCAGGUGUUCAUACUUCUCUGCUGGGGACAUAACAAAUGGCAUGACAAAUACUAAAGCAAUAAAUGAACUGAAAAAUAAAUGAGUUGGCAAUUAUUUAUCACAGAAUUAUCUGAGAUGGUAUUUCAAAUUAUUUCUCCCCUUAAAAAAAAGGAUAUUUUUUUACGGCAUGAAGAGUCAAAUGUAAAAGUAAAGAAAUGAAAACAAUCAGAUGGAGAGAGAUGAAUAUUUAUCAGAUUCCAGGAUGAACAUGGGCUUUGUAAUUGUAAUUCUUUGGGGAAAAUUAAUUCACCAGAAGCCCCCCUGGGAAGGGCAUGGUAAUUGCUGAAAAGAUGCCUGAUAAGCCACAUACACGGGAGGGAGAUUCCCUUAGGAAGGGCAAAGGGAUUGCAAAACUGCCU
rnacentral:lncRNA from 10 species